rnacentral:rRNA from 1 species
UACGUAGGCAGCGAGCGUUGUUCGGAGUUACUGGGCGUAAAGGGUGCGUAGGCGGUUUUCCAAGUUUGGUGUGAAAUCUCCCGGCUUAACUGGGAGGGUGCGCCGAAAACUAGGAGACUUGAGUACCGGAGAGGUAAGCGGAAUUCCUGGUGUAGCGGUGAAAUGCGUAGAGAUCAGGAGGAACACCUGUGGUGUAGACAGCUUACUGGACGGGCACUGACGCUGAGGCACGAAAGCGUGGGUAGCAAACAGG